rnacentral:rRNA from 1 species
AUUGAACGCUGGCGGCAGGCCUAACACAUGCAAGUCGAACGGUAACAGGAAGAAGCUUGCUUCUUUGCUGACGAGUGGCGGACGGGUGAGUAAUGUCUGGGAAACUGCCUGAUGGAGGGGGAUAACUACUGGAAACGGUAGCUAAUACCGCAUAACGUCGCAAGACCAAAGAGGGGGACCUUCGGGCCUCUUGCCAUCGGAUUUGCCCAGAUGGGAUUAGCUAGUAGGUGGGGUAACGGCUCACCUAGGCGACGAUCCCUAGCUGGUCUGAGAGGAUGACCAGCCACACUGGAACUGAGACACGGUCCAGACUCCUACGGGAGGCAGCAGUGGGGAAUAUUGCACAAAGGGCGCAAGCCUGAUGCAGCAAUGCCGCGUGUAUGAAGAAGGCCUUCGGGUUGUAAAGUACUUUCAGCGGGGAGGAAGGGAGUAAAGUUAAUACCUUUGCUCAUUGACGUUACCCGAAGAAGAAGCACCGGCUAACUCCGUG